UUUCCGUAGGUGAACCUGCGGAAGGAUCAUUGUCGGUACUCAUAUACUACGUAUAACGCGUACUAACACCCGUGUGCACUUGCGAAAGGGGGUCGGUCGUUGACUCGAUCCCCCUCGCCUUACCUCUAUACCAACGCCCUUCUGUCGUACGCGUGUUUUAUUUUGAAAUUUUAUUUGACACAACUUUCAACAACGGAUCUCUUGGCUUUC
rnacentral:misc_RNA from 1 species